rnacentral:tRNA from 1 species
GCGAGAUUAAGUUAAUGUAGACUGAUUGUUUUCAAAACAAUCAGUGGCUUGGGCCAUCUUGCG